rnacentral:tRNA from 1 species
CUAAGGAUGGUUCUUCAGAAGCUUGCUUCUAUCGAACCGUUUUAGAAACAUCAGUGGCCAACGAUCGUCAGGAUUGUUGAGCUGCAUUGGCGGGAUUUCGCCGUCUACGUUUCUCUUUCUUCGCGGACGAACACGCGCCAGGGGCUUAGCGCUUGUGCGAUGCAGCUGGCGUGAGCCGGCUGCGCGCCAUUGCGGCCUCUCGUGUUAGGGGCUUGUAGCUCAGUUGGUUAGAGCGCGCGCUUGAUAAGCGUGAGGUCGGAAGUUCAAGUCUUCCCAGGCCCACCACUUUGAUCGAGCGCAUCACGUCUCAUGACCGACGUAAGCAUUCGUCUUCUGGUACGGGGCCAUAGCUCAGCUGGGAGAGCGCGUGCUUUGCAAGCAUGAGGUCGUCGGUUCGAUCCCGUCUGGCUCCACCAGAUGGAAUUGAAGAUCGACAAAGUGGCCUGCUAACAAAGCGCCUUUCAACUCGUCCGCGAAACAUCACUUCGCACGCAUUGUCCGGAUGGACAGUGACGUGCGUGAUAUCUGACAUCGUAAAGAGGAGAUCGAUCCGAGUUUGGGAUCUGCAAAAGCAAUUUUGCGGAAUCUCAUUCCUAAUCUCCAGAUCAUUUCGGCGCUCGCUCAUCGCAAGAUGAGUGAGUUGUAAAUGAUCUUUGUAGCGAAGCUUGACCGCCUCGCUAUCGGGUUGAUCUUACGAAGCAAGCUGGUCUUUCUAAUCAUUGUCCGGCCGUACAUAGCAUUCAUCGAGGGUGCGCGUUUUGAGGUUUCGAUCUCAAGGCAAUUGUACGGACAACAUUCUGCCGAGUGUGUGGACAUUGAUAAUGAGAGC